CCCUUCAGUCAUCGCAGGGGUUCCUCCUCUCCAUGUCGCUUCAGAGUGGUUUCCGAAACGUGAGAAAUAAUCUCCUUCACAUCCAAUUCUCCUCCUUCGUCGUGACCCUCAUUACAAUCUGGCAAUGCCGUCUCUUCGGAUUUGAAGUGAGCAGCCAAUUGGGACGACGCGCGUGUCGUGCACGUGACGGACGGAAAUCACGACGGGCGCCCUUAUAAACGCCACGAAACGCUGUUCGAUAUUAAUUCUUCAGCACUGACGUCUGCUAUCAUCUGGCUCUGAAGACAAUCAUCAUGAAGACGGCCAUCAUUAUUCUGUUCGUUCUGGUCGCUUGGGGCGCCGUUCCCGAGGUGGAAGCGUUGCAUCAUCGAGCCUUGCAGCGUUCAAUCAGGGCUGCUGCCCAAGGCUUCGCUCCAUCGUCGCUGGGGGCCUCUGGCAGGGAGCGGUUCCUUAGGGCCACCUGCUACGGCGUAGGGAUGUUCAUGUCUGCACCCUACACGUGCUGACGGCACCUGGAUAGCGCUCUUCAAAGGGUGACCGAUACCAGUGGUUCUUGUACACUUUUACUGUGAAAUAAACACAUUGCACGAGA